GGGCGUUGAGCAAUGCCCACCACCAAAGUCCCUGGUCAUGCGAUCUGACAUGACAGAGACAUGAAAGGAGCAUUGACCCUUCAUUAAUUUUCCACUCACAAGCUCCUCUAUGAGUAAAGACAAGAGGGAGCUUCCAAAAAGGUUCCCCCACACUGACGAUCUCCACUCAGCUCCUACUAACUUCUUUAAGCUAGAGAUCAUCCGCACCAAUGAUGCACGUUGAACCCCCACCUAGAAUCUAGCCAAUUCCAGCCUUCAGACCAUAACCCAAUCGCACAUUAAGUAACCAUUCCCUAUGAGGGACC
rnacentral:lncRNA from 1 species